rnacentral:lncRNA from 1 species
GCAGAUGAAUGGUCUCUCUGGCUACCUUUAGACUUUCUUAUCAGCUUGCAGCUGAGCCCGUGCUUUCCCCACACCCCACUUCGUAAUUUCUGCAUGUUUGGUUGUUCAUUGCAGUGUGUUUGGAAGCAGUUAAACCUGUGGUGCUGUGAAGAAUCUGGCCAGCAUACAGGUUCCCAGCCCUGAAAGUGAUACAGGUGUCAGCACAACCCAGCAGGCUUGACCCAGCUGAUCCACACCUUCCAAAUGUGCCUUUAGAGGCAACUAGAAACACCUGCCCUGCUUAUGAGAUGUUAAAAGUGUAAGGGUUCUCACUAAGGUAGUGCUCUAAGAUUUAGGUAAGGUGACUGUGACUGUCUCUGUUAUGAGGAGCUAGGCAGGCUGGUGCUCUGGUCUUGCUUGUGAUGCCAUAUGCAGCAGAAAUCAGAGCUGUCUUCUGGCAAAAAGGCUCAAAGGUCCCGCUGAAGGAGCAGAAAACAAGCUGGGAUUGUUCCACCUGCAUAGCUGGCCUUCAGCUUUCAUGUAGCCACACACUCUCUGCAAUACCAGGGGGACCCACCUGUGCCUCCAGCGCUGCCAUGUCUUGGGACAGAAAUGAAGCGCCUUGCUCAGCCACCAGUGUGGUGUUCAAGCUGGAGGACAAUGCACAGUACGAGUUCCUCGUUGUGUGUCCCACUGCCAGAACGGUGCAGAGACCCACAGGGGAUGCCCUGAAUGCAGCUUAGGAAGAUGUGGGGUCCUGUGGUGAGAGGCAUGUCCCAUGUGUUGGGGUGUGUGACCGGGUGUGGAGCUGAAGCUGGCCCUGACCCUCCAUCGUGGUGGAACUGGGAGCAGGCUCCUUGCUGCUUGGAGGAGGGACAGAGGGAACCCAGAGCUCAGCACUGCCUCAGAGAUUGUUGCCAAGAGGCUAAUCGUCUCCUUGCGGAGGCACUAGUGGAAGUGAUUGAGACGAAGGGGUGUCACAUCAUCUUGAUGCUGAAGAGCAUUUGUGGAAGAGUCUUUCAUCCAUUAUUUUGCAAAUAUGUAGCCACCCUGCAUUCCAGAGAAACCACAGAUACUUCGAUACAGGGUGUAAU